GGGGAAAUAGCACGUAAUUGGAAGCGUCACAGUCUUCUAAACUGUUAGCAUUAUGCUCUUGAGGGUUCGAGUCCCUCUUUCCUCA
rnacentral:tRNA from 1 species